rnacentral:misc_RNA from 1 species
CGCAUAUCGAUCUCGUUGCUCAACGGCCUCUUAGCCAUCAAAUGCUUUGUCGGACUACGUCUUCUUCGUCCUUCAUCUCCAUUAACACUUUCUAGCCCUUUUUCCUUCUAUUCUUCAAAUCAAGUCUCUUUGGCCCUUUCAUUCUCUCUUCUUAUAUGUAGAGAUUUUGUUUUGGAGGUCUGAGAAUUAGUGUUUUGGCGAUAUGACAAUGAAUGAGCGGAAGACAAUUGACUUAGACCAAGGAUGGGAGUUUAUGCAAAAGGGGAUAACAAAGCUGAAGAACAUCCUAGAAGGGUUGCCUGAGCCACAAUUCAGCUCUGAGGACUACAUGAUGCUCUACACGACCAUCUACAACAUGUGUACACAAAAGCCCCCUCAUGAUUACUCCCAACAACUGUAUGACAAGUACCGUGAGUCUUUUGAAGAAUACAUCACUUCGACGGUAUUGCCAUCCUUAAGAGAGAAGCAUGAUGAGUUUAUGUUGAGAGAGCUUGUGAAAAGGUGGGCAAACCAUAAAGUCAUGGUUAGGUGGCUUUCUCGUUUCUUCCAUUAUCUGGACCGCUACUUUAUUGCUCGGAGAUCACUUCCACCCCUAAAUGAAGUUGGACUCACUUGCUUCCGUGAUCUGGUAUACCAGGAGUUAAAUGGUAAAGUGAGGGAUGCUGUAAUUUCUCUGAUUGACCAGGAGCGUGAGGGAGAGCAGAUUGACCGAGCUUUAUUAAAAAAUGUUUUGGAUAUAUUUGUUGAAAUUGGAAUGGGGCAGAUGGAUUACUAUGAGAAUGACUUUGAAGCGGCAAUGCUUAAAGAUACAGCUGCUUAUUAUUCUCGGAAGGCAUCCAACUGGAUUCUAGAAGAUUCUUGUCCAGAUUAUAUGUUAAAAGCUGAGGAAUGUCUAAAGCGGGAGAAAGAUAGGGUUUCUCACUACUUGCAUUCUAGCAGUGAGCCAAAGUUGCUGGAGAAAGUUCAACAUGAGUUGCUGGCUGUAUAUGCAAACCAACUGCUUGAAAAGGAACACUCUGGAUGCCAUGCAUUGCUCAGAGAUGACAAGGUACAUAUAAGCUGUUAUACACAUGCUAUUUAGUCAAUUUUGCUGAUCAGAGUAAUUGCAAAUUAGGAUGCUUGCUGUUUUCUUUGUUCUUAUUUUAUUUGUUUUAGGUGGAGGAUUUAUCACGAAUGUUUAGGCUCUUUUCCAAAAUUCCCCGAGGCUUAGAUCCUGUUUCCAGUAUAUUUAAGCAGCAUGUUACUGCUGAAGGUACUGCUUUGGUCAAACAAGCUGAAGAUGCAGCAUGCAACAAGAAGGCAGAUAAAAAGGACAUUGUUGGUUUACAAGAACAGGUUUUUGUUAGGAAGGUUAUUGAGCUGCAUGACAAAUACUUGGCAUAUGUCAAUGAUUGUUUCCAGAACCACACUCUUUUCCACAAGGCAUUGAAAGAAGCUUUUGAAGUCUUCUGCAACAAGGGCGUUGGCGGAAGUUCCAGUGCAGAACUAUUGGCCACUUUCUGUGAUAAUAUUCUUAAGAAAGGUGGGAGUGAGAAACUGAGUGAUGAAGCUAUUGAGGAAACACUGGAAAAGGUGGUAAAGCUGCUUGCUUAUAUUAGUGGUGGUCAGUUCACCUCAAAGAUGGAAGGGAUGGUAACGGAUUUGACAUUAGCAAGGGAAAACCAAACUAGUUUUGAGGAGUAUCUAAGCAAUAACCCAAAUGCAGAUCCAGGGAUUGACUUGACGGUUACUGUUUCGAAAACUGACAUCUGGCCAAGAUACAAGUCUUUUGAUUUGAACCUUCCAGCGGAGAUGGUCAAGUGUGUUGAAGUUUUUAGGGAAUUCUAUCAGACAAAAACAAAACACAGAAAACUUACCUGGAUAUACUCUCUGGGUACCUGUAACCUUAUUGGGAAAUUUGAACCAAAAACCUUGGAGCUGAUUGUGACAACCUAUCAGGCUUCUGCACUGUUGCUGUUCAACUCCUCUGACAGAUUGAGUUAUUCAGAGAUCAUGACUCAACUGAACUUGACCGAUGAUGAUGUUAUUAGAUUGCUACAUUCUUUGUCAUGUGCAAAGUAUAGGAUUCUAAACAAGGAGCCAAAUACAAAAUCAAUCUCUCCUACUGAUUACUUUGAAUUCAACUCAAAGUUCACUGACAAUAAGAGUAGGAUCAAGAUUCCUUUGCCUCCUGUGGAUGAGAAAAAGAAAGCAAUUGAAGAUCCUGUGGACGAGAAAAAGAAAGUAAUUGAAGAUGUUGACAAGGACAGACGAUAUGCUAUCGAUGCUUCAAUUGUGCGUAUCAUGAAGAGUAGGAAAGUUUUAGGUCACCAACAGCUGGUUAUGGAGUGUGUUGAGCAGUUGGGCCGCAUGUUCAAGCCCGAUUUCAAGGCAAUCAAAAAGCGGAUUGAAGAUCUGAUUACACGAGACUAUCUCGAAAGGGACAAAGAUAACCCAAAUUUGUUCAGAUACUUGGCUUAAUGUGGCCUUGUUGAUUAUCCAUGAAUAAUGAAGUGGUGACUGGCAACUGCAAUUUGCACUAGAAGAGUGUACCUGAAUGAAGCAGCUCAAGAAUAUUUAUAAACGCCAUUAAUUGAGUGCUGCUUUUUGCUGAUUUAUUAGAAGCAUGAGCCGAGGCCGCUUGUACAUUUUGCCUUCGCAGCCAGGUAUGAAGAACUUCCAUAGAUUGUGCACCCAUGUUGGAAAAUUGUAAUUGAUUCCACAACGAGGUCCAAUGCACCAAUAGGACCAUCUACCAUCCUGUAUCUGUUAUUUUCUGCAAGUCCAUCACAUUACUUGAUGCCUGUUUGUUAAUUGUUUCUUUACUGCCCCACUGGAAGAAGAGAAAAAAAAAAUGUGAUUUGAUUUUAAUUGCAUUGUGUUUUUGAGUGUCAGUUUCGGAAACUAUCAGGUGAAUGGUUUUUCUUUGAAUUUGGAUGUCGUUGUUCAUGCAUUUUAUGCAUAUAUGGGGUAUAUAUAAUUUUUUAAGAACACUGAAUUCCUUUUGUUUAAUGGGAUGGACAAAUUAGUUUUCAACUAUUUUCGAUUUUUAAGCUAUUAGUGGACUUGGAGAUGCGCUCAAGCCCGUUUGCAAGAAAAAAAAAUUCCAUUGAGUUUUACAAAAUCAUGCUUUUUUUCUAUUUGGAGAUGAUUGAAUUUUUUUCAUUUCAAAUACAAGAAUUGACAAAAAAGAAGUUAAUUGAAUCGAAUCUUUGUAAAAUUCUAGUUUCCUUGCAACUUGUACUUGCCACUUAUGAGAAAAUAGAUCUCACUGGAUGUGAACCUGUGAUAGGUACUGUAAGAUUCCAUAACCGAUGAAUUAUUCUGCCUUGUGUUAGUCUUGAUUGGAUUAUUGGAUGGAUACUGUGUCUGCCAUUUGGAGGAACCAAAGCAUGCAAAAAAGCAACCCAUUAGAGAAAUCUCCUUUUACUUGUGGCGAUAAAGUCUGCGCUCCAUCUGGUGCCCUUCGCUUCUCUAACACCACCACGACAACCGCAUCCUUUGGUUACCAUUACAAAGCCUGUUAUAGUUCUUUCAAACAAGCAAGUUUUCUUUCUUC